ACGUAGGUGGCGAGCGUUGUUCGGAUUUAUUGGGCGUAAAGGGUUCGUAGGAGGUAUGGUAAGUUCGAUGUGAAAUCCCGUGGCUCAACUGCGGAACUGCAUUGAAAACUGUCGUACUAGAGUGUCAUAGAGGAGAGCGGAAUUCCUGGUGUAGCGGUGGAAUGCGUAGAUAUCAGGAAGAACAUCGAUAGCGAAGGCAGCUCUCUGGGUGACAACUGACUCUGAAGAACGAAAGCGUGGGGAGCAAACAG
rnacentral:rRNA from 1 species